CUGGUGUAGCGGUGGAAUGCGCAGAUAUCAGGAGGAACACCGAUGGCGAAGGCAGAUCUCUGGGCCGUAACUGACGCUGAGGAGCGAAAGCAUGGGGAGCGAACAGGAUUAGAUACCCUGGUAGUCCAUGCCGUAAACGUUGGGAACUAGAUGUGGGGGCCAUUCCACGGUCUCCGUGUCGCAGCUAACGCAUUAAGUUCCCCGCCUGGGGAGUACGGCCGCAAGGCUAAAACUCAAAGGAAUUGACGGGGGCCCGCACAAGCGGCGGAGCAUGCGGAUUAAUUCGAUGCAACGCGAAGAACCUUACCAAGGCUUGACAUAUACCGGAAACGUCCAGAGAUGGUCGCCCCGCAAGGUCGGUAUACAGGUGGUGCAUGGUUGUCGUCAGCUCGUGUCGUGAGAUGUUGGGUUAAGUCCCGCAACGAGCGCAACCCUCGUUCUAUGUUGCCAGCACGUUAUGGUGGGAACUCAUAGGAGACUGCCGGGGUCAACUCGGAGGAAGGUGGGGAUGACGUCAAAUCAUCAUGCCCCUUAUGUCUUGGGCUUCACGCAUGCUACAAUGGCCGGUACAAAGGGCUGCGAUACCGUAAGGUGGAGCGAAUCCCAAAAAGCCGGU
rnacentral:rRNA from 1 species